GGGCCCGUGGUCUAGUUGGUUAUGACGUCGCCUUUACGAGGCGAAGGUCAUGCGUUCGAAUCGCAUCGGGCCCA
rnacentral:tRNA from 2 species